rnacentral:lncRNA from 9 species
GGGUCAGAACAGCGCAGCGUGAGAAAGACUCCACCAGCAUUGCUGGCUUUGCAGAUGCAGGGGCUGCGUGCCAAGGAAUGCAAGUGGCCCCUGGAAACUGGAGCAGGGAAGGGAGCGGUUUUGCUCCUUGGAUCUCCAGAAGGAAUACCAUCCUGCCAACACCUCGAUUUUAUCCCAGUGACACCCAUUUUGGGCUUCUACCUCUAGAACUGUAUGAACGGGGGUGGAGGGAUGUAUAUUGCCAUUGCAUUUCAGGGAGAUUCCAGUUUGCCACCUAGGAAAGGAGACUGGUAGAAAUAUGUCCAUAUAUUAAACUGAGUAAGCCUAGAUGAUGGGUGGAGAAUGGAACACGGGCAAUCGUUUUUUUCAUACUUUACCUUAAUUUUCAAAAAUAAAAAUGAAAUAUCAUUACUUUGUGAUGUUAUAAACGUUGAAAUAUAAGUAUGUUCAAUGAACUGUGGGAGCACAGAGAGGGAACCACACUCUUUUGUCUGUGGAGGCCCUUCCCACUCUGAGGGCACGCGCCCUGUGAGUUUGCUGAGGGCAAGGGCAGGGGAAGGACGGAUGUUACAGGUAGAGGAACAGCUUGUGCCAGGACAGGAAGGAGGAGUGAUAGACUUUGUCGGGGGUGAGCAUGAGACUUUGUCCUUCAGUCUAAAUAAGUGUUCAGUCAUGCAAAGGAUCAAGUCCAAAGGGACGAGUCUCUAGGUAUCAAGGAAUAUGGUUGGGGACAUUUUAUGGGCUGAACCAAGACUUUCUGGCACUUUGAAAUCAUACCAAGUAGCUUCAGACUCGGUGGCUGGGGAGGAUGUGCUCGUGAAAGAGUUGUUGUUUAAGGCUCAGGCUUUUGUGCUUUUCCCUCCUCCUGUUUCCUGCAGGUGGUCAGGUUCCCAGUCCCCAAAUACGUCCCCUGUAUUUUGCAGGAGGGUUUGUUGCCUUUGUUGAGGGGUAGAGGGUUUCGUGCUAUUUUUUUUUUUUUUUAACUUAUUCUUAGGGAAAUGGUAGAGUAGGUUUUUUCUCUCCUAACAGUCUUACAGUGGAGCCAUCGAAUCUCCUCAUGAGUCCUCCACCCCCCAGGGAAGCUUCUUUUCCUGUCCCUGGCCCUCCCAUAUCCUGGGGAAUUCAGAGGCCUAUGUGAGGGGAAAAAAAAAACCAACAACAGACAAAGACAAAUAUCACAUGAUAUCACUUAUAUGUGGAAUCUUAAAAAAUGAUAUAGAUGAAUUUAUUUACAAAACAGAAACAGACUCACAGACUUCAAAAACAAACUUAUGGUUAUCAAAGGGAAAGUGGGGGGAGCAGUUAAUUGGAGGUUUAGCACUGGCAAAUGCACACCUUUGUAUAUGGAAUGGAUGGUCAAUGGGCACCUGCUGUAUAGCACGGGGAAAUCUACUCAAUAUUCUACGAUAACUGAUAUGGGAAUAGAUAUGCGCAUAUGUAUAGCUGAAUCACUUUUUUCUUUCCUUUUUUUUUUUUUUUAAGGGGCACACCUGAGGCAUAUGGAAGUUCCCAGGCUAGGGGUCAGAUUCCAGCUGUAGCUGUCAGUCUAUGCCAUAGCCGUGGCAACUCGGGAUCUGAGCCAAGUCUGCAGCCUACACCACAGCUCUCAGCAAUGCUGAAUCCUUAACCCACCAACGAGGCCAGGGAUCGAACCCGCUUCCUCAUGGAUCCUAGUCAGGUUUGUUAACCACUGAACCACGACCAGAACUCCUUUAUUUUCUUAGAGGAUAUGUUUCUUUCUCUUUUCCUCCUUCUCCACUCUGGUAUUUUAGUGCCAAGUCCUGAUAUCUGGCAUAGAACUGGUUUCCUUGAUCCUGCUGUGGUUUGGUUCCACCCAUCAAGACAAUAGGCCUAUUUUUUUUUUUUUUUCUCUAUAGUCAAAGGCCCCUGUGUUUGUCCCUAGAAGUUCCACGCUGAACUGGUGCCACAGGUUGAGUUUCCCUGUUCUGUUUCUUCCAGGUCAUCUUAGAAUCAAUAGGCUUGUGGGUCUGGAAGGGGGUCCUGAGUUGCGUGCAGGGAAAGGGGAGGCCUGUGAGAAUCCCAAGCAGUUCUAAGCCUGUUUGCAGAAGAAGCAGGAUUGUGGGCCAGGGGACCUGGGUCCUGGGGCUGGUGACUAAGCUUGACCUUGAAUUAGCAGACUUGUUUCUCUAGGCCUCAGCCUUCCCUGCGGCAGAACGAUGAGCUCAGGCCCUCCGGCUUGAACACCCGCCAUGCAUUUUCUUUCCUCUUCCUCUUUGAAAUCUGUAUCAUUCCUUCCAAGGAUCCACCAUCAGAUAAAACUAACUUGACUAAUGUCUGUGUGAGAGGGGACCCACUCCCAGGUAUCCUGUACCCAGUUGGCUGGUCUUUUAGGAUGGAGUGAAGGGUGGAUAUUUUUGGCCUGGUCUCAUUUGGGACCCUCUUUGGUGGCAGGAAGGGCAGGGUUGUAUGAAAUGGUGAAAGUCUCGACGAGCAGCUUAAGGAGUUUGGACUCUCGUGACUGAGGAACCACCAGCGGCUUUAAGUGGGAAGUGACCUGGUCAGAUCUGUGUUUUGGGACAUGUGCUCUGGCAGCUGUUAUGUAGGGAGAACUGUGGCUGUGGAGCGUCCCCAUGAGAGGCUGAGAUCUGAACGGGGAGAGCAGAAGGCCUGGGGAACAGGGGACAGGAGAGCCUUUGGAAGACGAGCAGGCCUUGGCGAGUGACCCGAGAGGAGAGGGUGGUGAGGAGGAGGCCUGAAGAUGAGGGGGAGCGGCGUCCAGUUAGGGCUCUUGGGUGAUCAGAUGCCACGAACCCUGAGAUAAGGAUGAGGGGAGGUUGUCUCGGGCCCGAGAUGCUAACUCAGACCUGGAAAUGUUUAGACAAGGUGCCUGUGGACUGUGCAGGUGGAAGUGCUGCCCAGGCAGUGGGAAGAAGCUCCCCAAGGAGCUGGGGCUGGAGCGAGUGAGUGGUGGAGGCUGAGGCGGGGAAGCGGGAGCGAGCCCGGGGGCUGCGCCUGUGCGGAACUGCUCGGCCUGGUCUCCUCGUCACAAGGCACAGGGCUGAGUUCCGCUCCUCAUCACCCUUUCCUCUGUUGAUCAGGGUGCCUUUUCAGGGUUUGGGCGAGAUAGACAUUCUUAACCUGGGGGUCACUUACUACCUGCCUGUAAUGUAAGUCUUUGGCAAAUGGGCGCUGUUACGUGAC